AGCGGGAACGGUCCAUCGGAUUGGGCGGUGAUUGCAAGCUCUGCCUCUAUUCUUCACAGUAGGUUCUGAAUUUGAAUCGGAAUAAACCUGGCUGAAGUUGCAAUCUGCACUAUGGAGGUACACGCUGCGAUUAAAUUGGUUUUGAGUUCAUAUCCAAUGUUUUGCUGACAACUAAAUUUUGUUAGCAGCCCUCUCCGCAAGGAACUUUUAUCGACGCGGCUCUGAAACUAGUACUUGACAUGGUAGAAGCAUGGUUUAUUCGGCCUAGACUAAUACAGUACAUAUACUGUAAUUUUCAGGAUCAUUACGGGCUGUGGCGAGCCGUCUGCUCUUCCUACAGAGUUAGUGUCCAUUUGCACUGUACUAUAUAAUUCGUUAGUGAUCAUGAUCACCUUACUUGGUGUUCUCGAUCGAGCCGCGUAGAUGGUGACUACGUUGUUGUUGCUGGUGGUUUGAGAGAAACUGAAUUGAAAAGAUUCCUGGACGUAUAAUCUGUCAGGUAUCAUCUGUAAUUUGGAUUCAAGUUUCAGAUGUCUUAGAUAUAUUGUAUCUUCAUCAUUUUCUCUAGCUUGAUACUGUGCCAAGCCACGAUCCUCUCUCCUCUGCUGUGGUGUAAGUGGUGCGGGGAGACCCGCGCGCGUUCGAGGGAGAGCUAGCCCGUAAGGUGCCUUUUGGCCUACCUCUUGUGGUCCUCACCUGGUUCAAGAGCUGGGAUUUGAAAAGCUAGAGAUGCACUUUUUCCUGGGAUUCUGACAUGGAUUUUAUUGCAAGCAAUGGCCCCUGGAGAUUCCGUCAUGCAUUGUUUAACAAGCUCAGUCAUUGUGUCAAUUAAAACUGAAAAGGACGUGUCAAAACUUAUCAAAAGGAAACAAUUUGUUGUCUCUUGGCUUUUUGGUUGCAAAUGCACUAUUUUUUUUGAGAGAACAAAUUCACUAUUAUUGAGAUAGAGAAUGCACGUCAACUACACAACAAAUUAUCAUGGUGUUCAAUUUUCCAAUCUUCCACUUAAUUUUGUUUCUAUCAUUUAGUUUGCUUUCUCUUUUCCAAUCUUUCACGUAAUAUUGUUGUCCAACAG
rnacentral:lncRNA from 1 species